rnacentral:rRNA from 1 species
GACGAACGCUGGCGGCGUGCCUAAUACAUGCAAGUAGAACGCUGAAGGAGGAGCUUGCUUCUCUGGAUGGGUUGCGAACGGGUGAGUAACGCGUAGGUAACCUGCCUGGUAGCGGGGGAUAACUAUUGGAAACGAUAGCUAAUACCGCAUAACAGUAGAUAUCGCAUGAUAGCUGCUUGAAAGGUGCAAUUGCACCGCUACCAGAUGGACCUGCGUUGUAUUAGCUAGUUGGUGAGGUAACGGCUCACCAAGGCAACGAUACAUAGCCGACCUGAGAGGGUGAUCGGCCACACUGGGACUGAGACACGGCCCAGACUCCUACGGGAGGCAGCAGUAGGGAAUCUUCGGCAAUGGACGGAAGUCUGACCGAGCAACGCCGCGUGAGUGAAGAAGGUUUUCGGAUCGUAAAGCUCUGUUGUAAGAGAAGAACGAGUGUGAGAGUAGAAAGUUCACACUGUGACGGUAUCUACCAGAAAGGAC